AUGAGUAGCGAGAUAGAGGUGGGAAUCCUCUAGGCCGAAUAUCCAAGGUUUCCAGGGUAAAGCUGAUCUGCCCUGGGUGAGUCGGGACCUAAGGUGAGGGCGAGAGCCGUAGCCGAUGGACAACAGGUUGAUAUUCCUGUACUGCAGUAUAACAGAACUGUGGGGACACGUAAGGAGAGCGGGAGCCGGGAAUGGAAAGCCCGGUACAAGCGAGGUACCAGUAUGGUAGGAAAAUCCGCCAUGCAAUGGGAAGACGUGAUGUGGAGUGAAUUUUAGUAACGAAGCCCGUGAGCCAUGCGUCAAGAAAAGCCGCUAUCGUUCAUAUUGUACCCGUACCGUAAACCGACACAGGUGGAUGAGGAGAGAAUCCUAAGGCCGACGGAAGAAGCAUUGUUAAGGAACUCGGCAAAAUGACCCCGUAACUUCGGGAGAAGGGGUGCCACAGAAAUGUGGCCGCAGAGAAUAGGCUCAAGCAACUGUUUAGCAAAAACACAGGUCUAUGCAAAACCGAAAGGUGAGGUAUAUGGGCUGACGCCUGCCCGGUGCUGGAAGGUUAAGAGGAGAGGUUAGCGCAAGCGAAGCUUUGAAUUUAAGCCCCAGUAAACGGCGGCCGUAACUAUAACGGUCCUAAGGUAGCGAAAUUCCUUGUCGGGUAAGUUCCGACCCGCACGAAAGGCGUAAUGAUUUGAGCGCUGUCUCGACAAUGCAUCCGGUGAAAUUGAAGUACCAGUGAAGAUGCUGGUUACCUGCGCCAGGACGGAAAGACCCCAUGGAGCUUUACUCCAGCUUGAUACUGGGAUUCGGUAUUGCAUGUACAGGAUAGGUGGGAGGCUAGGAAGUGAUAACGCCAGUUGUCACGGAGCCGCUGUUGGGAUACCACCCUUGCAGUAUUGGAUUUCUAACCAGCGACCAUGAACUGGUCGGGGGACAAUGUCAGGUGGGGAGUUUGACUGGGGCGGUCGCCUCCGAAAGGGUAUCGGAGGCGCUCAAAGGUUCCCUCAGAAUGGUUGGAAACCAUUCGAAGAGUGCAAAGGCAGAAGGGAGCUUGACUGCGACACCGACGGGUGGAGCAGGU
rnacentral:rRNA from 1 species